GUUUUUAUAGUUUAAUUUCAAAACAUUGGUCUUGUAAACCAAAAAUAAUUCUUUUUUUAAAAACU
rnacentral:tRNA from 2 species